UAAAUGCGAUUGAAUAAAUUAAUUUCUUAACACAAAGAGUCUUAUUUAAUGCUACCGAUAAACGGGCAAAUAUGAAAAUAAUGGUCAGAAGGACAAAAAAGGGUUAAAAGGGCGAUUUUAGUGUGCGCGUGGUAGCGGCGGCUGCACAUGCAUGCACGCACUUGCAUGGAAUGUGGAAUGCCUGCUGCUGCUGCCUGCCUCUGUUGUGGAGCGGGGGAGGGGCGACGGGCGGUGGCAGCAGCAAGCGCAGCAAGAGACUUACAAAAUCCUGCCUCGCUCUCUUUGUCCAACGCGUCAACGGUCAACCGCCGUUCAAAGUUAAAGUUAUUAACGGACGCAGGACGCCGGACGCCGCCAGUAAGGGACAACACGGACGUCCCGCAGACUUGGACGGAUGGCCUGGAUCUGGCGGUUAACAGGCUUCAAGCCGUCCGCAGCUGUUUUGCACGACGGGAAAAGAUACAAUCGUUUAAGUUCUGCAGUUUGGGCUUCAAGAUUGGCGGUGCUGGCAUCGAAUGAGAGAAAAUUUUGUACCUGAUAUGAUUAAAAACAAAUAAAUUUUAAAAAUUUAACUGAAUAA